UUUAAAAUAUAUAUAUAUAUAUAUAAAACCCAGUAACAAAAAUUCAUAUUUUUAACACUUACCUAUUAAUGCGAAGGAUGCGAUUGUUUUU